UGUAUUAGUGACCUAGGUUUGCUGUCAA
rnacentral:piRNA from 1 species